GCCCGGAUCAUGACCUGAGCAGAGAUCAAGAGUCAGCCGUUCAACGGACUGAGCCACCCAGGCGCCCCAACGCUUAUCUAGUUUAAGCAGGCAUAUAAUUUUGCGUUCGUUUCAGAUGUACAACGUGACGAUCGGAUAUUUGUGCCCAUCGUGAAACCAUCACACGAGGGGUCUCGUUAGGGGACAUUUUGUUUUCCCGGGAUGAAGGCUUCUAAGAUCCCCUCUCAUCCACGUUCACCUGUGCGGUACAGUGUCACUAACCACGGUCCCCAGGCCGCGCUAGCCACCCUGGACCGCUGACGGGCGCCCGGUUAAAUUUCAGCCUGGGGCUGCAGCGAGCGGGGCAGCGGUGGACAUGUGGCCCAGGCCGCUGGUGACCGUAGGGGCGACCUUGCGCGGAGAGAAACCUAACUGGGGAACGGUGGCUUAGAAGGGGUUUCCCAGGGACUGGCUUUGGCCACGGCGCAUGCGCCACGGAGCUGCGUCCGUUCCUUCCCGUCUCCUAUUUCCUGAACGGCACGCGCCUUGCCGCGUCUCUGGUUUUACAAGCGUCCUUUGUGCCUAACAAGAAUACGAUCUGUACAUCGUUCCCAAGUACCUCCCAGUCCUCGGCUGCCGGGAGUACUGGCCGCUGAGGGCCACGGCUGUCCCCGCCGGCCCUUGGCCACACCUCAGGUCCUGCCCAGCCCCCGGCAAAGGCCCGAAGUCAGUGCUGGGAUAACCAAGUUUUUAACUGAUCAUUUCUUUGGAGAAGACGAGAAAGUUCUUCCUGCCGCGGUUUCACUGCUAGUUUUAUAUCCAGGCGAAUGGCAAGCACGAUCCAGGCACUUGCGUACCUGUGUUCACAGCGGCAUCAUUCACAGCCCCAGGUUGCCGUCGACAGUUCGUGUCCGCGCCUCGCUGGACCGGCCGCGGCUGGCGCCCAUGGCUGGCGAGCGCUGGCCUACCGUCAGGGCAAGGAACUGGCCACUCCGUGCCUUGGUUUCCCCAUGAGAGGAGGAGGAGAGGCCCUCGCGCGGAAAAACGCGCGUCGGAGCCUGCCGGUGUGCGGGAAGGCCGGAGAGCUCGAGAGCGGCACCUGCUGGACGCGGCGGGCAUGACGUCCAGGUCCCCUUCAGCAUGAUUCCCAGUCACUGAGACGUGGAAAUAACCCGAGUGUCCACCGAAGAAAGUGGCUCAUCCAUAAAAUGAUCGUCCAGCCUCAGCGAGGAAGGACGUCCUGCCGCCUGCCACCACGUGGAUGGACCCGGAGGACACUGCACAGUGACAGGAGCCAGACACAGAAGGACACGUCCUGCGUGAUCCCACUCACAGGGCGUCCCCAUAAGAGUCCCGUCCACAGAGGCAGAGAGUGGAUGGUGGGAGCCAGGGGUGGGGAGUCCGUGCUUCAUGGGGACAGGGUCUCAGUCUGGGGAGAUGGAAAGUUCUGGAGACGGAUGGAGGGUGGGUGCACGACAGUGUGUGUUUGAUGCCACUGGACAGCUCAGCGGUUAAGCGUCCAACUUCGGCUCAGAUCUUGAUCUUGUGGUCCGUGAGCUCGAGCCCCAAGUCCGGCUCUGUGCAGACAGCUCAGAGCCUCGAUCAAGCCUGCUUCGGAUUCUGUGUCGCGCUCUCUGCCCCUCCCCACUCAUGCU